UGAUGGCGAUGGCCGCACAUCAAGCCCGACUCGGCGUGCCGGACAACGCGAGUGGAGAUGAAGCCACCGCCCUUGUGAGGGAGGCUGAGCGUUUG
rnacentral:rRNA from 1 species